UACGUAGGGUGCAAGCGUUAUCCGGAAUUAUUGGGCGUAAAGAGCUCGUAGGCGGUUUGUCGCGUCUGCUGUGAAAACCCGAGGCUCAACCUCGGGCCUGCAGUGGGUACGGGCAGACUAGAGUGCGGUAGGGGAGAUUGGAAUUCCUGGUGUAGCGGUGAAAUGCGCAGAUAUCAGGAGGAACACCGGUGGCGAAGGCGGGUCUCUGGGCCGAUACUGACGCUGAGGAGCGAAAGCAUGGGGAGCGAACAGG
rnacentral:rRNA from 1 species